rnacentral:rRNA from 1 species
AUGUUUCUACCAUUGGCCCUUGUAGAUCCCUUUAGUGAAAGGGCCGUGGUUAUCAGAAUAGAGAUCGUGCAUUGCACGUGCAAGUUUGAUAGAGACGUGCAUUGCACGUGCACGUUUACUAGUGUAUCGAAGUCAGCAUAUAUCAACAGGACGGCGACUGCACAUCGACACACAUUAACCAAACAGAUUGUGACACGACAGAUGGAGUCUCAACAACGAAGCAGCAGAAUUCAGGAACUCCUGAUCAUGUAUAUCAGCCAGGACUCAACUAUGAUUCUGCAGGGUCAACACUCCAUAGAGAUUAUGGCUAGGUCCAAAUGCUCUCUUUCAAGUUCCCAACCAGGGCAGACCUUGCAUAAAAGGAACCUACUGGGCAAACCACAUGCCAGUCUCAGUUUCUACUAUUCAAGUGAGAAAUGCAUGAAAGACAUACUGCAGCAUUUGUCAUAUGAUGAAAGUAACAAGAUAACUUCUACAUAUAAUAUAGUAAUGUACUUCUACAUAUAA